UACGGGGGGGGCAAGCGUUGUUCGGAAUUACUGGGCGUAAAGGGUUUGUAGGUGGCUUGUUAAGUCAGACGUGAAAUCCCUCAGCUUAACUGGGGAACUGCGUCUGAGACUGGUGAGCUUGAGUGCAGGAGAGGAUCGCGGAAUUCCCGGUGUAGAGGUGAAAUUCGUAGAUAUCGGGAGGAACACCAGUGGCGAAGGCGGCGAUCUGGGAAGAUACUGACGCUGAGGUGCGAAAGCGUGGGGAGCAAACAGG
rnacentral:rRNA from 1 species